GCUCAGGACGAACGCUGGCGGCGUGCCUAAUACAUGCAAGUCGAGCGGAGCACUUCGGUGCUUAGCGGCGGACGGGUGAGUAACACGUAGGCAACCUGCCUAUAAGACUGGGAUAACUAUCGGAAACGAUAGCUAAGACCGGAUAACUGGUUUUCUCGCAUGAGAGAAUCAUGAAACACGGAGCAAUCUGUGGCUUAUAGAUGGGCCUGCGGCGCAUUAGCUAGUUGGUAGGGUAACGGCCUACCAAGGCGACGAUGCGUAGCCGACCUGAGAGGGUGAACGGCCACACUGGGACUGAGACACGGCCCAGACUCCUACGGGAGGCAGCAGUAGGGAAUCUUCCGCAAUGGACGCAAGUCUGACGGAGCAACGCCGCGUGAGUGAUGAAGGUUUUCGGAUCGUAAAGCUCUGUUGCCCUAGACGAACAGCAA
rnacentral:rRNA from 1 species